GCUGCGACCCCUCCGACGCGGAGCCUUUUGGGAAAUGAAGUCUUUUUUUCAAAGAGCUUGCCGCUCAGCUGGGUCGAGGCCCUAGCAUCUUGACGGAUUCCAGGCGUCGGGAGGGACCAGAACCUAAAGUGGAGCCCAAGUUUGAGGGUGUGACCUGCCUGGUGCGGAGCCAGGCUCCCAGGAGCUCAGUGGAAUGUGCCCUACAAACUCUCGCAGUCUUCGAGCGUCUCGUCAGGGGCCACAGCCGACCUAGGGUGGGCCCGAGGUGCUCCUGACCACAGCCGAUGAAACUCAGGACGGCGCCGAGCCGGAACGUGGGGGCCCGGGGAGGCCUGGCCGCCGUACUGGGAGACACCCUGAGGAACGCGGGUUGAGGAGGGGGCUAGAGUUCAAAGGUCAGAGGUCACCGCAGCGAGAGGUGCGGCGAGGGGAUGAAAGUCCGAGGGUGUUGAGACUCCAGGACUGAAUGCUCGGGACAGAUCGGUGGGUGGGCGAGUUGCAGAGAGGAAAAGCGGAGCGGAGCGGGGGCGCGGAGGGAGGCUUAGGAACGAAGGAGAAGGAAUUCCCUGGAUAGUCACUCCCUGGGUUGGAGCGACACUGCCUGUCACUUAACCGGGCGACCUCUUUUGCGACCCCAGCUGUCCGGGUGAGGAGAUGGCUUCUCCCUCUAGACAGCCCCCCUUGGGAGGCUCUGGGCUGCUGCAGGGCAGCCGGGCUCGUUCUUACGGAAGCCUGGUGCAGUCCGCCUGCUCCCCGGUGAGAGAGCGGCGCCUGGAGCACCGGCUGGAACCCGGAGACACCCUGGCCGGGCUGGCCCUGCGAUACGGAGUGACGGGCUCUGCUUUCUUUCCAGGUGCAGAACAGAUGGAACAGAUCAAGCGUGCAAACCGCCUUUAUACUAAUGACUCCAUCUUCCUGAAGAAAACUCUCUACAUCCCCAUCCUGAGAGAGCCCAGAGACCUGUUCAAUGGUUUGGAUUCAGAGGAAGAGAAAGAUGGAGAGGAAGAGGUAGACCCACGUAAGGAUGAAGUUCAGCUACACUCAGCUGAGAGGAAGAAACAAGAGACAGGUUCAGGCCGUGCCAGUGGUGAAGCUCUCCCUAAAGCUGGCCAGGAACCCCCUGCUCCCCUCCAUGACCUCUCUGCCUCUGAUUUCCUUAAGAAGCUUGAUUCACAGAUCAGCCUGUCAAAGAAGGCUGCUGCCCAAAAGCUGAGAACAGGGGAAAGCAGGAUACUUGGGGAAGAUGCAGGUCUCCAUCAGAGCUCCCCUCGGAUGCAGCAACGAGCAGUCCUAGGUCCUGUGCCACUGACCCGGACCUCUCGGACCCAGACACUGCGGGACCAGGAGGAUGAAAUCUUCAAACUCUGAUGUUCCCAGAACUGAGAGAAGCAGUAUGUUGACGAAGCAAUGUGAGGGGGAGAGUAGCCUGAGGUGAGGCUCAAGGACAUGGCUUCCCAGCCUGACUCCCUCGACUCCUGCUGUCUUCUCCAGCCUCCCCGUAGACCAAGAAUUCCUUGGCCUGGGCAUUUUUCUGGCAGGAGUUCGAGAUGGGGCCUAGACCCCUCCCUAGUUCUUGGGCUGAAUCUAGAGUUUUCCUUUAGAUUCAAAAGGUUCUUUUUAUACCCCUGCUACCUUUCCUAUCCCUUUCACCCUUCUCUAGCCUUAGAGCAGAGAAGCAAAGACUCCCUUUCAACUUCUUCCCUAUCUCCACCUGUGUUACCUAAUUUAUUUGGUGCUAUAUUGAAGUAAUAUUUAUUUGCUGUAUCUAACUCUUUCCCACUGUUAGCUGAAAAUGUGAUUUCUAGAGCCCUGGGAUGAGGGGAACCCAGACACAAUUAAGUGGUCCGUCAGCUUCCCCGCUGCUUGCCCACGCAUGUUAUCAAGGACAGGGGAAUCGUGGUCUAGCGCUGUCAUGGAGAACAGUGGGCUGUUCCAAGUCUUUUCCCCAGUCUCAAGGUGAAGGAUUUGGGUUCAGUCUGACCAACUAGUUCCCUAUACUUCUAAGAAAAAGCAGCAAUGUAGAGACCUGAAUUCUCCAUUCUUCCAGUUCACCCUUCUGACCUCUCUCUGCUCAGCCUGCAGUGGAGCUAAGGGAUAGAAGAAGCAUUGCCUUGGGGUGUGAGAAGGACAGUUGUGGGAGUCUCUUUGUUACACCCCCUCCCCACUAAAGCCUGUCUGUGUACGCCUUGCCCCUUACUGCAUAUUUAUUUGCAAUUUGUAGCACUGGUUUGCGGUACAGUUUGUUUUUUUGUCUUAAACAGAAGAAGUAGACAAGGGAACCUCAAUAAUACUGGAAAAUGGAAAUAUGCCUCAGUCUCAUGUUUGGAAAUAGUGAGAGCUGGCCACGGGAGGCGGUGCUGGGUUCAGAGUUUUCAGAGCUUCCCCUCAUCCAGCAGCUUCCUGAGCCCAUCGCAGAUCUUGCCAAGGUGCUGAGUGAAGCCAGGCCCAUAGAGGGCUGUGAGCAGCCCUGGGUCAGAGAAGUGAUCAAACACGUGGCGAAUGCGGCCCUGUGACUUGGGUGUGAGGUGGUGCUGCACCAGUUCCAGCAGCGUGUCUCGGCACUCAUUGAGCAGGCUUGCUAACACGGCAGCCUCGAAAGUGAAGUCCACCUCUCCAAAGCUCAGUGCCGUCAUGGCACCCUGCCGCAGCUUCUGGCGAAAGCGGGUAGCCAGGUCCAGCUCGCUGGGGCCAAAGCUGCCAUUGCGGUGCAGCACAGCCACCUUGACAGCCACCUUGAUCAGGUCCUUGAUAACCCGCUGGGCCUGGGGCCGACUGUGCGUGUACUCUUUGGACACACGGUACAGCUCGUCUAGUACCUCGCUGCUUGUCUCAUCAAUGAAGAGGUGAACCACAGACCGACCUGCCAUCUUACUUAGUAGUUUCUUCUCCGCUUGCAGUGCCAGACUCUUUGAGCUGAAGGACUCCAUGGUGUCUGGGAAUGGGUAUGUGGACAGUCACUAGAAGAGAGGCCACAGGCUUCCUUAGAAAGAGAGAACCGGCUUUUCCCCUU